rfam:Populus trichocarpa scaffold_15_contig_155, whole genome shotgun sequence.
GAACGAAGGUAGCUUGGUAGAGUGCAUUGAAAUUGGAUUUGAUGGUUAACAUGUCGCUGUCUGAUGCCUCGCUUUAGGUUCAACGGCCUAGUUUCAACCAACAUGU